rnacentral:rRNA from 1 species
UACGGAGGGUGCGAGCGUUGUUCGGAAUUACUGGGCGUAAAGGGCGCGUAGGCGGCCAACUAAGUCACACGUGAAAUCCCCAGGCUUAACCUGGGAACUGCGUGUGAUACUGGAUGGCUUGAAUUCGGGAGAGGGAUGCGGAAUUCCAGGUGUAGCGGUGAAAUGCGUAGAUAUCUGGAGGAACACCGGUGGCGAAGGCGGCAUCCUGGACCGACAUUGACGCUGAGGCGCGAAAGCUAGGGGAGCAAACGGG